rnacentral:rRNA from 1 species
UCCAGACUCCUACGGGAGGCAGCAGUGGGGAAUAUUGCACAAUGGGGGGAACCCUGAUGCAGCGACGCCGCGUGGGUGAAGGAGCGUUUCGGCGCGUAAAGCCCUAUCGGCAGGGAAGAAGGAGGACGGUACCUGACUAAGAAGCCCCGGCUAACUACGCGCCAGCAGCCGCGGGAAUACGUAGGGGGCAAGCGUUAUCCGGAUUUACUGGGUGUAAAGGGAGCGUAGACGGCGAUGCAAGUCUGAAGUGAAAGCCCGGGGCUCAACCCCGGGACUGCUUUGGAAACUGUAUGGCUGGAGUGCUGGAGAGGCAAGCGGAAUUCCUAGUGUAGCGGUGAAAUGCGUAGAUAUUAGGAAGAACACCAGUGGCGAAGGCGGCUUGCUGGACAGUAACUGACGUUGAGGCUCGAAAGCGUGGGGAGCAAACAGGAUUAGAUACCCCGGUA